UACGAGUGGCUCAAGCGUUAUCCGGAAUUAUUGGGCGUAAAGGAUGUGUAGGUGGUUUUGUUAGUUAAGUGUCCAACCUCUCUGGCUCAACCAGGAGAUAGCACUUAAAACGGCAUGACUAGAGUAUGUUAGGGGUAAGCGGAACUCAUAGUGUAGGGGUGAAAUCCGUUGAUAUUAUGGGGAACACCAAAAGCGAAGGCAGCUUACUGGGACAUUACUGACACUGAAACAUGAAAGCGUGGGCAGCGAAUGGG
rnacentral:rRNA from 1 species